GCCUUCAUGGUGUAGUGGUCAGCACACUCGGCGCGUAUUCGAGAGUUCCAAGGUUCAAGUCCUGGCAACGGCA
rnacentral:tRNA from 1 species